rnacentral:tRNA from 1 species
GUGGCCGGAUCCCGUGUUGGUUUCCGGAGUCAGACUGUGAAUCUGUUUGGCGGCGGUUCGAUUCCGCUCAGUCACC